rnacentral:hammerhead_ribozyme from 1 species
GCACUGCUGAAGAGUCCCAUAAUAAGACAAAACGGUCGUCCAGUGC